CUUAGAAGCAACACUCUCCAGAAUAUCUCCAACCCCACACUUAGAAGCAACACUCUCCAGAAUAUCUCCAACUACACACUUAGAAACAGCACUCUCCAGAAUAUCUCCAACUACACACUUAGAAGCAACACUUAGAUGAAGCAACCAAGCUACACCAGCAUAUAUAUCCGUCUGCUGGAGGCCCAGGUGCUCAUUUUGCCCGGGGGCCCAGGCCACUGUCAGUCCGUCCCUGAUGGGAACCAAAAAAUCACAAUCAGGAAUUUAUUGUGAACAAUAUCAUUAGCAGGAAUCAACGUGGAUUUAUAAGAUCAGGCCCUGGGGAGAUAGCGCAGCUAAGCGGACAAGGGCACAUGUAGGAGUGUGGG